GGAGCAGUAGCUCAGAGGUAGAGCAGCGGACUGCAGUUCCGAAGGUCGCUGGUUCGAUUCCGGCCCGCUCCU
rnacentral:tRNA from 1 species